rnacentral:rRNA from 1 species
UAGGGAAUCUUCGGCAAUGGACGAAAGUCUGACCGAGCAACGCCGCGUGAGUGAAGAAGGUUUUCGGAUCGUAAAACUCUGUUGUUAGAGAAGAACAAGGACGUUAGUAACUGAACGUCCCCUGACGGUAUCAAACCAGAAAGCCACGGCUAACUACGUGCCAGCAGCCGCGGUAAUACGUAGGUGGCAAGCGUUGUCCGGAUUUAUUGGGCGUAAAGCGAGCGCAGGCGGUUUCUUAAGUCUGAUGUGAAAGCCCCCGGCUCAACCGGGGAGGGUCAGUGGAAACUGGGAGACUUGAGUGCAGAAGAGGAGAGUGGAAUUCCAUGUGUAGCGGUGAAAUGCGUAGAUAUAUGGAGGAACACCAGUGGCGAAGGCGGCUCUCUGGUCUGUAACUGACGCUGAGGCUCGAAAGCGUGGGGAGCAAACAGG